CGUAGGGAAACCGAGUCUUAACUGGGCGCCAUAGUCUCUGGAUAUAGACCCGAAACCGAGUGAUCUAGCCAUGGGCAGGUUGAAGGUUGAGUAACAUCAACUGGAGGACCGAACCGACUAAUGUUGAAAAAUUAGCGGAUGACUUGUGGCUAGGGGUGAAAGGCCAAUCAAACUCGGAGAUAGCUGGUUCUCCCCGAAAGCUAUUUAGGUAGCGCCUCGGACGAAUACUACUGGGGGUAGAGCACUGUUAAGGCUAGGGGGUCAUCCCGACUUACCAACCCUUUGCAAACUCCGAAUACCAGUAAGUACUAUCCGGGAGACACACGGCGGGUGCUAACGUCCGUCGUGGAGAGGGAAACAACCCAGACCGCCAGCUAAGGUCCCAAAUUACAGCUAAGUGGGAAACGAUGUGGGAAGGCUUAGACAGCUAGGAUGUUGGCUUAGAAGCAGCCAUCAUUUAAAGAAAGCGUAAUAGCUCACUAGUCGAGUCGGCCUGCGCGGAAGAUGUAACGGGGCUAAGUUGUAAACCGAAGCUGCGGCAAUGUUCUUUGAACAUUGGGUAGGGGAGCGUUCUGUAAGCCGUUGAAGGUGUGUUGUAAAGCAUGCUGGAGGUAUCAGAAGUGCGAAUGCUGACAUGAGUAACGACAAGGGGGGUGAAAAACCUCCCCGCCGGAAGACCAAGGGUUCCUGUCCAACGUUAAUCGGGGCAGGGUAAGUCGACCCCUAAGGCGAGGCCGAAAGGCGUAGUCGAUGGGAAACGGGUUAAUAUUCCCGUACUUCUUACAAUUGCGAUGGGGGGACGGAGAAGGCUAGGUGGGCCUGGCGACGGUUGUCCAGGUUCAAGUGCGUAGGCUGAGUGUUUAGGUAAAUCCGGACACUCUUAAGGCUGAGACACGACGUCGAGCUACUACGGUAGUGAAGUCAUUGAUGCCAUGCUUCCAGGAAAAGCCUCUAAGCUUCAGAUUGUAAGGAAUCGUACCCCAAACCGACACAGGUGGUCGGGUAGAGAAUACCAAGGCGCUUGAGAGAACUCGGGUGAAGGAACUAGGCAAAAUGGUACCGUAACUUCGGGAGAAGGUACGCUCUUGAUGGUGAAGUCCCUUGCGGAUGGAGCUGACGAGAGUCGCAGAUACCAGGUGGCUGCAACUGUUUAUUAAAAACACAGCACUGUGCAAAAUCGUAAGAUGACGUAUACGGUGUGACGCCUGCCCGGUGCCGGAAGGUUAAUUGAUGGGGUUAGCGUAAGCGAAGCUCUUGAUCGAAGCCCCGGUAAACGGCGGCCGUAACUAUAACGGUCCUAAGGUAGCGAAAUUCCUUGUCGGGUAAGUUCCGACCUGCACGAAUGGCGUAAUGAUGGCCACGCUGUCUCCACCCGAGACUCAGUGAAAUUGAAAUCGCUGUGAAGAUGCAGUGUACCCGCGGCUAGACGGAAAGACCCCGUGAACCUUUACUACAGCUUGGCACUGAACAUUGAACCUACAUGUGUAGGAUAGGUGGGAGGCUUUGAAGACGUGACGCCAGUUGCGUUGGAGCCGUCCUUGAAAUACCACCCUUGUAUGUUUGAUGUUCUAACGUUGGCCCCUAAUCGGGGUUGCGGACAGUGCCUGGUGGGUAGUUUGACUGGGGCGGUCUCCUCCCAAAGAGUAACGGAGGAGCACGAAGGUGGGCUAAUCACGGUUGGACAUCGUGAGGUUAGUGCAAUGGCAUAAGCCCGCUUAACUGCGAGAAUGACGGUUCGAGCAGGUGCGAAAGCAGGUCAUAGUGAUCCGGUGGUUCUGAAUGGAAGGGCCAUCGCUCAACGGAUAAAAGGUACUCCGGGGAUAACAGGCUGAUACCGCCCAAGAGUUCAUAUCGACGGCGGUGUUUGGCACCUCGAUGUCGGCUCAUCACAUCCUGGGGCUGAAGUCGGUCCCAAGGGUAUGGCUGUUCGCCAUUUAAAGUGGUACGCGAGCUGGGUUUAGAACGUCGUGAGACAGUUCGGUCCCUAUCUGCCGUGGGCGUUGGAAGAUUGAAGGGGGCUGCUCCUAGUACGAGAGGACCGGAGUGGACGAACCUCUGGUGUUCGGGUUGUGUCGCCAGACGCAUUGCCCGGUAGCUAAGUUCGGAAUCGAUAACCGCUGAAAGCAUCUAAGCGGGAAGCGAGCCCUGAGAUGAGUCUUCCCUGAUACUUUAAGUAUCCUGAAGGGUUGUUCGAGACUAGAACGUUGAUAGGCAGGGUGUGUAAGCGCUGUGAGGCGUUGAGCUAACCUGUACUAAUUGCCCGUGAGGCUUAACCAU
rnacentral:rRNA from 1 species